AGGCCGAGGUGGGGAGGGGGAGUUCGUGCGAGUCAAACAGGCCGCGUCCUGUGCCAGGGCUCCCCAAGAACACGGAGCUGAGAGGUAACACCCUCGAUCCCAUGUGAGGCUUGGAC